rnacentral:rRNA from 1 species
UGAGCAAUCUGCCCUUCUCUUCGGAAUAAGCGUUGGAAACGACGUCUAAUGCCGAAUACGACCUCCUUUCGCAUGAUCGGAGGUUGAAAGCUCCGGCGGAGAAGGAUGAGCUCGCGGCCUAUCAGCUAGUUGGUGUGGGUAACGCCCACCAAGGCGACGACGGGUAGCCGGCCUGAGAGGGUGACCGGCCACACUGGGACUGAGACACGGCCCAGACUCCGUACGGGAGCAGCAGG